rnacentral:rRNA from 1 species
AGGAUCGAGCUGUGUGACGCGGAGCGAAAUAAAGUAGUGAAGUGUCCGGAGGACCUGUCGAGAAAAGCCGCUAUAGUGUGAUAUCUGCCCGUACCGUAAACCGACACAGGUGGAUGAGGAGAGAAUCCUAAGGCCGACGGAAGAAGCAUUGCUAAGGAACUCGGCAAAAUGUACCCGUAACUUCGGGAUAAGGGUAGCCCUCAUGUAUGAGUAUAUGAGGGCCGCAGAGAAGAGGCUCAAGCAACUGUUUAGCAAAAACACAGGUCUAUGCGAAACCGAAAGGUGAAGUAUAUGGGCUGACGCCUGCCCGGUGCUGGAAGGUUAAGAGGAGAGGUUAGAGCAAUCGAAGCUUUGAAUUUAAGCCCCAGUAAACGGCGGCCGUAACUAUAACGGUCCUAAGGUAGCGAAAUUCCUUGUCGGGUAAGUUCCGACCCGCACGAAAGGCGUAAUGAUUUGAGUACUGUCUCGGCAAUGCAUCCGGUGAAAUUGAAGUGCCAGUGAAGAUGCUGGCUACCCGCGCCAGGACGGAAAGACCCCAUGGAGCUUUACUCCAGCUUGAUACUGGGAUCCGGUAUUGUAUGUACAGGAUAGGUGGGAGGCUAAGAGAUUGUGGCGUCAGCUGCAAAGGAGCCGCUGUUGGGAUACCACCCUUACCGUACUGGAUUUCUAACCAUGGACCGUGAAACCGGUCCGGGGACAAUGUCUGGCGGGGAGUUUGACUGGGGCGGUCGCCUCCGAAAGAGUAUCGGAGGCGCUCAAAGGUUCCUUCAGGAUGGACGGAAACCAUCCGAAGAGUGCAAAGGCAUAAGGGAGCCUGACUGUGACACCGACGGGUGGAACAGGUACGAAAGUAGGACUUAGUGAUCCGGUGGCAGAACGUGGGAUUGCCAUCGCUCAACGGAUAAAAGCUACCCUGGGGAUAACAGGCUUAUCACUCCCAAGAGUUCACAUCGACGGAGUGGUUUGGCACCUCGAUGUCGGCUCAUCACAUCCUGGGGCUGUAGCAGGUCCCAAGGGUUGGGCUGUUCGCCCAUUAAAGUGGUACGCGAGCUGGGUUCAGAACGUCGUGAGACAGUUCGGUCCCUAUCCGGCGCGGGCGUAGGAUAUCUGAGAGGAGCUGUCCUUAGUACGAGAGGACCGGGAUGGACGGACCGCUGGUGUAUCUGCUGCGAAGGCAAUCGCAUAAGGCAGGGUAGCCAAGUCUGG